CCUGCUGAUCCGCUCCCUCCCUGGUCGGCUGUGUCACCACAUCUGGGAUUCCUUCGGAGUUGCAGCGCUUGGACGCUCCUGCUGUCUUGUCUUGCCGGUUUUGUUUGGGCCGCUCUCGACUGAGCCUGCUGACGCUUGGGCUGGCGGAACGAGCAGAGCACGACUCCUCUGGCCCCGCGUGAAAAGACAUUAGAAGUCGGACAACGACAAUUUGUCCCAUCGUUUGCAGUGUAAGGUGCAUGAAGACUGAAUUCCCAGCCAGAACCCUGGAAGAAUCUUUUUCUCCAUCGUGGUUGCGACUCGGUGCAGCAGCCUGGCCUCCUUCUCCGCGCCCUCACCGGCUACAGCGUAGAAGUUGAUGAUCCCGG